rnacentral:rRNA from 1 species
UACGUAGGGUGCAAGCGUUAAUCGGAAUUACUGGGCGUAAAGCGUGCGCAGGCGGUUUUGUAAGUUUGUCGUGAAAUCCCCGGGCUCAACCUGGGAAUGGCGAUGAAGACUGCAAGGCUAGAAUCUGGCAGAGGGGGGUAGAAUUCCACGUGUAGCAGUGAAAUGCGUAGAGAUGUGGAGGAACACCGAUGGCGAAGGCAGCCCCCUGGGCUAACACUGACGCUCAGGCACGAAAGGCGUGGGGAGCAAACGAGG